rnacentral:rRNA from 1 species
UGGGGAAUAUUGGACAAUGGGCGAAAGCCUGAUCCAGCCAUGCCGCGUGUGUGAAGAAGGUCUUCGGAUUGUAAAGCACUUUAAGUUGGGAGGAAGGGCAGUAAGCGAAUACCUUGCUGUUUUGACGUUACCGACAGAAUAAGCACCGGCUAACUCUGUGCCAGCAGCCGCGGUAAUACAGAGGGUGCAAGCGUUAAUCGGAAUUACUGGGCGUAAAGCGCGCGUAGGUGGUUCGUUAAGUUGAAUGUGAAAGCCCCGGGCUCAACCUGGGAAAUGCAUCCAAAACUGGCGAGCUAGAGUAGGGCAGAGGGUGGUGGAAUGUCCUGUGUAGCGGUGAAAUGCGUAGAUAGAGGAAGGAACACCAGUGGCGAAGGCGACCACCUGGGCACAUACUGACACUGAGGUGCGAAAGCGUGGGGAGCAAACAGG